rnacentral:rRNA from 1 species
UAACUGAAGAGUUUGAUCAUGGCUCAGAUUGAACGCUGGCGGCAGGCCUAACACAUGCAAGUCGAGCGGAAACGAUCCUAGCUUGCUAGGAGGCGUCGAGCGGCGGACGGGUGAGUAACACGUGAGAAUCUGCCCAUUAGAGGGGGAUAACCUGGGGAAACCCAGGCUAAUACCGCAUAAUCCCUA